rnacentral:rRNA from 1 species
GACGAACGCUGGCGGCGUGCCUAAUACAUGCAAGUUGAGCGAUGAAGAUUGGUGCUUGCACCAAUUUGAAGAGCAGCGAACGGGUGAGUAACGCGUGGGGAAUCUGCCUUUGAGCGGGGGACAACAUUUGGAAACGAAUGCUAAUACCGCAUAACAACUUUAAACAUAAGUUUUAAGUUUGAAAGAUGCAAUUGCAUCACUCAAAGAUGAUCCCGCGUUGUAUUAGCUAGUUGGUGAGGUAAAGGCUCACCAAGGCGAUGAUACAUAGCCGACCUGAGAGGGUGAUCGGCCACAUUGGGACUGAGACACGGCCCACACUCCUACGGGAGGCAGCAGUAGGGAAUCUUCGGCAAUGGACGAAAGUCUGACCGAGCAACGCCGCGUGAGUGAAGAAGGGUUUCGGAUCGUAAAACUCUGUUGGUAGAGAAGAACGUUGGUGAGAGUGGAAAGCUCAUCAAGUGACGGUAACUACCCAGAAAGGGACGGCUAACUACGUG